rnacentral:rRNA from 1 species
AACGAACGCUGGCGGCAUGCCUAACACAUGCAAGUCGAACGAGGCCUUCGGGUCUAGUGGCGCACGGGUGCGUAACGCGUGGGAAUCUGCCCUUCGGUUGGGAAUAACACAGAGAAAUUUGUGCUAAUACCUUAUAAUGUCUUCGGACCAAAGAUUUAUCGCCGAGGGAUGAGCCCGCGUAGGAUUAGGUAGUUGGUGGGGUAAUGGCCUACCAAGCCGACGAUCCUUAGCUGGUCUGAGAGGAUGAUCAGCCACACUGGGACUGAGACACGGCCCAGACUCCUACGGGAGGCAGCAGUGGGGAAUAUUGGACAAUGGGCGAAAGCCUGAUCCAGCAAUGCCGCGUGAGUGAUGAAGGCCUUAGGGUUGUAAAGCUCUUUUACCAGGGAUGAUAAUGACAGUGCCUGGAGAAUAAGCUCCGGCUAACUCCGUGCCAGCAGCCGCGGUAAUACGAAGGGAGCUAGCGUUGUUCGGAAUUACUGGGCGUAAAGCGCGCGUAGGCGGUUACUCAAGUCAGAGGUGAAAGCCCGGGGCUCAACCCCGGAACUGCCUUUGAAACUAGGUAACUAGAAUCUUGGAGAGGUCAGUGGAAUUCCGAGUGUAGAGGUGAAAUUCGUAGAUAUUCGGAAGAACACCAGUGGCGAAGGCGACUGACUGGACAAGUAUCGACGCUGAGGUGCGAAAGCGUGGGGAGCA